AUAUUCACGAACACACAAAUUAAAAUUAGUUUAUAACAACUGUGACACUAAUAACAAAUCUUCAUAAUGACAAGUGAAUAAUACCCAUUACAUUGUCAAGUAUCAAGUUAUGUCCAUCGUUAGCUACUCAAUUGCAGGAACUCAAAGAAAGACGAUCAUAAAAGAUAAUAGGGAUAUUGAGUGCAGACUUCACAAAGCCCAUUUGCCCAUACGUUCGUCUGAUGAUUCAAGCCCUCGUUUAGAGUCCGGACCAUUAUCCUAUCCACAUCAUUUCACCUUACUUUCUCCAUAUCGAAAGAUAAUCUCGAUAGCGCGAGUCGCUAUUUUCCUACUACUAAUGACAAAAGGCAGGCAAUCGUAGACAUCGGGCCAAUACCAUACACCUUAAUGAGAAAACGUUAGCGCACGCUUGAAUUUUCAUUUCAUUUCACCUCCCUGACAUUUUGCUUUCACGAUAUUAAAUGUAACUCGUAGAGCGAGCUCGUGCUUCUUACAACUUUACAACUAGGCACGACCCGAGAUAGAAUUAACUAGAAUUAAGUGUUCUCGAGUUUUAGUAGCUAUUUGCAUUUAAGCACUUGUUAGAAACUGUAAUUAAAGAUUUUAAUUCUAGGUUUAGAGGAAGUGACGAGACAUUCCCUGUGUUUUUUCUACAAAUUCUGUUAAAGUAUUUUCAAAAGACACAAAACCGAAUCAGUCACUUUACAAUUCAGUCUACAAUUCAUUCUCCUGUAUCUCAUUUUCUACAGUAUAAAUUCUGAUUGUUCUAAAUUGGUAUAAUGACGAACCGAGACGAGAAAGAUCCAUUAUAUACUUGUAGAUAAAUUCCAAGUCAUUACACAGGUGCAGGGACUAAUGAAGUCAGUCAUUCACUCCCAGAUCCCAGCAUUACUGUGAAACAAUCGGCAAAUCGUUGCGGCUAGGAAGUCGCGAGAUUGCGACUCAGUUCAACUUUUUUGUCCUAACAAUGCAAUUUAUAGAGAACAAUGCGACAUUGUACAUACGUAUAAUGUUCAUUAGAGUGAAAGUUUUCCGUUUAACAAUAAAUAAACAAUGAACUCAUUGUAAGGGAACGCUAUAAACUAAGUUAGUACUAAUAAUGCAUUUGAGUGUUUUACCAUCGAGUUCCAAUAGCUUGUUGAAAUUCCGAUGGAAACACGAUAUAUUUUCCUCUUAUAAAAACAUAAAGACUUCGACCAGAGUCCAUGUAAGUAAUAUUUGUAUUAAGGUAAGGCAAUACGGCUAAAAUACUGAUACCUAGAACAAGUAACUCCACUUUCGUAAAGUUCUCAGUAAUAUUCCGUUUCGUAUGUGAAGGUCUGCUCCUAACGGCGGGAUCAAUCGAUUUGCUAGCGUUAGCCGCGCCUGUCUUCACGCCAGCCCACGUUCACGCGCCUUUCUAGCACUUAAACCCUAAUUUGUUUAACCCUAGAGCUUUGCCGGUCAAGUCUGUACCUAUCGCAAAUUAUACCUAAGCUUGAUAAUAGUAUUUCAUCUUAUAUAAAAACACUUUAUCCCCCGAUACCUUUUGGUCUGAUUCGACUUCAUUUACUAAAAUAUAAGUUUUUGUAACAUUGACUUACAUUAAAUUAGGCAAAGGCCACUCCAAUAGCUGAUUAAUUAAUAAAUAUAAAAAAUGUUAAAUUACAAACAAUUAUCGACCAUUCUCCAUGCACUUACACGGCCCAUAGAAUCAAUUACUCCAAGCCUCGAAAUUUAAAUAAACACCGAACUUUCAAAAUCGAUUCGUUUCUGUAUCAAGAGUGAAUAAAUCUCAUCUAGUAUUUAAAUAAAAUUGCUGUAAAGUAAAUGCAAUAAAGUGGAGGCCGCCAUUGACCUAGAAAACUGACACUCGUGCCUCGCGCCGGGUAAAUACAAACAAACAAACCGUCAUAAAAAACCUUUCCAUUGCAGCAUUGCUUACAAAUGUCACAUUAUUUACGUCAAAGGAAUUUGUAACAAAUAACUUCUUUUCUAUGCCAUUUUUUCCAAUCGUCCUCUGUAUCCAAAAAGCUAAUAGUGAGAUACAAAAAGCGUCAAUCAAUUUAGUCACAGAAUCGGAAUAUUAAUUUUAUUGGCAUAGCAUAUACACCACUAUCUAGCUAGGUAUUCAAUUUUAGCAUAUAGUUAUUUCAAGUGUGACUCAUAGGGUGUGUCACAAAUAGAUUUUCGUGUACAGACAGAGUUUUAUUGUGUCUUAAUAACAUAUCCUUUAGUCGUAUGAAUCAUGACUAUUUACAUACUAAAGCUUAUCACACACGUUCUAUUACAGACACGUUUAAAACACAAUUUCGCUAUUUAUGACUUGCUCGCCACUUCGGACUUUAUAUCCCCUUUCUUACGUAAUCUCGUCGACGUGUAUGGAAGCUUGUGAUCGUCAUACAUUAUUUAAUUAAGCAUUUCUACUAAACUUAUAGGAUGUCCGACUUCUCAAAGUAAUAACCGCUUAAUUGCUUUUCCUUUUACUAUUCACAUAUUAAAAUCAAUUACGUAACUCAGGAGUCCGUUGACGUCUUAAAGUUCCAGUAGUGGGAGUGUGAUAGCGCUAUACACUCCGUAGAGCGGCAUCUCCUUCCCACAACUAAAAUAGACUUAUUUUUGGUGGUGGUAGUAGGUUACCUGUUAAGAAUUCUAAAUGGAUGCUAUUGAAAGGAUCUUUAUUUGUUGUUCCUGCGUUUAAUUUUCCAUAUAUGUUGUGUUAUACGUGAUUUGAACGGUUAUCACUAAAUGGAAGGGAACUGGGGACGAUUGUCGUGAAGCAUUUGUCACGAGCUAGGACAGUCGUGCCGGCCAUCACUCGGUGAAAAUCACUCGCAGUAAAUAAUGCGUGAUUCUCUAUCAAGCUAUUGUCUAGAAUAACGGGUUUGUUUGAAGUGAAGACUUGUCUUUGAGGUUUGAUACCAUUUGAGUUAAGGAAAACAAACAAGGAUAUUGGAUCUUGAUCUUAAAGCUUCCAUACGAUGUUUGUAAAACUGUGUUUUUUGGUACUCGCUUGCAAGCUCUAUAAAUGUUGGAAAUUCUGAACUUUGGUCAGUAUAACACGCGUGGGAUUAUAAGCUGACCUUUUCAAAAUUUAUAAUCAACCUAUAUCUAAAUUUACGACAGGCAUAGAUAAUCUAGACUUAAGACAUCCGUAUCAAAUGCCAUGACUCCCGUUAACAUAAAAAAAUAGCUAAAGUAGCAAAAAAUUAUACCUAGAUUUAAGUCUGAUAACUAAGGGUCGGCGCGGUUUUUUUGCUCACGUUUCUCGACGAGAUGCCUUACGUGAAUCUACAGUAGGUCCGCUGACGCAGAAUAUGUCACCUCUUUAAAUAAUAUUUUUGCAGUUUUGUCGCUCGCCGGCAAGAUGCUGUUCAAAAGUAAGAGAUUGUUAUACAUGGUUUUUGAGGAGGUUAUGCCUGUGGACUGACGAUAUAAUAGAAUGAAAUUGGUGAUUGAAUAUUGUGAAAGUUUGGUGCACUAGCAGACAGUGUCAAUAGACCACAAUUCAUUAUUUUCAAGAAUUUAAAUUAUUCAAGUAAGUAUAUAAAAAGGCUAGUCAAAUUAUAGGUCAUACAAGCUUGAUAAAUUAUUCUAAUGAAAAAGAACAGAAUAAAGGCAUUAUUUAUAAAAUAUGUGGCGUAUUUUCAUUAUUAUAUUUAAUAACCUACACUUAAAACCAUCAUUUUGUAACUAUUCGCAAGACAUUGCCAGUACCAUUAAUACUUCUUCACAGCUUACAAAGAAAUUAACUUACAUUGUAAAGAGUUGCUUGUCUUUUUGAACACUUCAAUAGUCAACCUGUCGAGAAAAAUAAAUCUCGCUGCAUGCCUCGUAAUUUAUAUUCUUUCAAGAAGGAUAUUUAAAAAUUGCAGCCCAAGAAUGUCGUAAUGGAGAAAUCGAAAAAUACUUUACCAUAUAAGGGCGUGGACCUUAUACAACCUUAUGUAAGAUGAAUUAAUACAUUACUGCAACAGGUUAGGGCUCUUAGGUCAUCUACCCUUAUCUUAAUACGCUGUUGAUGUAACUCAUUUGCACGUAGUUGAUGUAAUUACAGAUAGCAUUAGCGAUGCAAAUUGCAAAUGGCAUUUCAGUAGAUGUAGUGAGUUCUAAUGUUGGUAUAGCACUUUAAAAUUAAAUGAAUCCUGUUGGAGAGUUUGGAAUUUCUACUCGACUUCAUGGAACUUCAUAGCGACCAGCUUUGAUAACACUAAUUGCUCACCUUCAGCUACAUCUACACUUCUGACUAUAGGGAGAUGUUUGUUGCAUAGUCUACGUUCAGAAAUUGAAACAAUAUGACAUAAAUACCGGCUUUUCAGAAAACAUUCCUAAAUAAAGCAAAACAAAUCGAUACCUUUUAUUACUCUUACUUUGUACGUCGAACACCCAAGUUUCUCCACACAAACAUUCGCGCUACAAAGAACCAUUUAACAAAACAUUCUAAUUAUUAACUGAUAGGAAAGCUACAGAUUAUCUGUGUACAUGUUACUUAAUUACAAGGCGGGCUGUGCAUCGGGUUGGAAACUCUCCCCGUCCAAGCGAUGGUGAAAACACUGUCUUUGUAAUGUACUACAAAUAAUUACUCGUUGCCAGGCUGUUGCAUCUACUUGACCCUCCUUUUGAAAACGUUUUACGUAAGUUGUUUAACACGCUUGCCUCUAAUCCACUUAUGAUUUACAAACACGUUAGUAGUUAGAUUUCGUAAAAGAUUUUUUCAUAAAUUAUAUGUCAAUUGAUAUUGUGAAAGGAAAAUGUCAAUUGACUGCCCAAAAAACUUAAUUGAAUCGUUCUCUGGUUGUCUUGCCCUCUCCUUAACAAGUAGUCAUGAGUUAAGACCUAAAACAACAUGAGUUAAGUUUCUAUAAAAGCUUGGAUUUUUAACUUCAAAAGGGUUUAAAAAAGGUUUACAUUUAUCCCUCCUCUUUCGUCCAUGUAAUACUUCACACUUUCAAUUUCAACUUUGCAAGAAAGUAAAAUGCUUUGUGUAUCUGCAUUCUUUCGUCAUUCUCCAUCGAUUGGAGUAUCCUGUCUGUUCAAAAUGACCUUAUCACUCAAGCCGAACUCUUUAAUGAAUAAUGCUCAUUACUAUCCAAGAGUCGUGAUCAGUUAACAUUAUGCUGACCAUGAAGGUAUGUUAAUAGACGAAAUAUAUAAAUGUCAACUAAACAUCAAUCAUAAUAAUUUAUAACUGUUACCUUACCGUCGUUUCCAUUGUCAUUUCUGUAAUGUCGAACAAAACAAUUGAAAGAAGUUGUUACAAUAAGUAGUGUAAGUGCGAUGGUUGUGCGACUGGCAAAGUAAGACACGUCCAUCAUAUAAUUUUCCGUUUAGUGGACUAUGUUACACGCAACAAGGCAGCAUAAAAGGGAGUAGAUAAGAGUAGUUCGGGUCAGUGCCCCCCCAUUGUGCGAGUUGAGCAACAAUUGCCGGCCAUAUGAUACAGCGGUUAAUUGCGGUGCGACGGUGUAGGAAUAUCAGUCAUAACUAUCAGCAAAGCUCGAAGCCUCCAUUCAUACGCGGUCACGCCUCGAGAGCUUUGUGAUUAUAUCUCGUUUUGCCACAAAUCGAUACAAUCGCGUUAUUACAAAUUGAAUGCGGCGCCGGCGACGGAAUUCCUUCGCCCGCGUUCGAUGCCGUGUUGUUGUUUUGUUUUUCUGUAAUCAUCAUGUCUUCUAUCUGUGUUUGUAUAACAGCAGAUUGCAGGGUACAUAAAGCAGUGCAUAAAGGAACAAAACUGUGACUUCACUUCAUGAUUUGUUGUUUUGUUUUCGAACGUCCUGAAAGCUUUGAUAGUUCAUGCUAACUACGACUAAAAUUGCUUCCAACUUUUAACAACUCGUUCCGUCCCCAGUCCGUUAUCGAUACAUCAGUUUCAAUUAGCAACUUUAGCAUCACAUCGGGACUAUUAUUUACAAACCACUUCCAUAACAAAGCAACGCAGUUAGGUUGUAAACAUCGUAGUUUAACGCACAUAAAAUUCAAUUCAUAAAAAUUAACGGGCACAAGCGUAACCGUUGGUAAAUAAUAAAUAAUAUCUUUAUAUAGGUAAAUUAUAAGUUAUUGUGGUCGAUGGAUCGAUGGAUGGUAGAUACAGGCUGUACACUGUUCAGCGUUCAGCUCUGCCGAUCAGUAACUAGAUGGGGGUU